rfam:Trichosporon oleaginosus strain IBC0246 unplaced genomic scaffold CC85scaffold_26, whole genome shotgun sequence.
GGGGGUGUAGCUCAGUGGUAGAGCGUCUCAUUUGCACCGUGGCUUCGACUACGACCUUCUUGAGAAGGCCUGGAGUUCAAUCCUCCACUCCUCCA